AAGGAAAGAGAAAAGUCAGCAGGACGACCUGAGCUACCCAGCAGACAUCCCCGGACACCUUGCCAAGACAGACCUCGUUCUCAGUCAGGUUGUGUGCAAGAUGGGACAAUUCUCAGUUCUGCUUUUGCUGACAGUUCUCUGUGCAUUCUUUGAGGAAACUGAAGCAAAUCCAUUUGUUUACAACUAUGAGAGACUACGAAUUGGAGGCCUGAUCAUUGCAGGCUUGCUUGUAGCAGGUGGCUUGUUUGUCCUACUUAAUCCCAAAUGCACUAGAAAGAACAAAAAAUCUGAAGAUGACACAAGUGAACUCUAAGCAUCUCUAAAGGAUGGAAUCUGACUAACUGGUUGCUGUUGUUCUAAUGAUGAAGAUUCGGGGGUGGGAAUGGGGCAGGACUCUGGCCAUGACAAUGUAAUGACACCUGAAUGGAUGUGAGAGCGGAUGGAGGGUGGGUGGACCACAAUACAUCUAUUUACUGUUUUGUUUCUUUAUUGGCUCAAAUAUAUGAGUUUAUUCUCAGGUGUUUUACGGUGGUAGUGAGAUGUAUGAUCGAACAACUAAAAUACAUUUCAUUUAGCUAUAGCUGAGCUAAAACGAUUAGCCUUCAAUUGUUUGUGCAAAUUCUUAUUAAUGAAAAGCCAAAUAAAUACCAUUGGAUACCAUUGUUAGAAGUAAACAACAUGCAAAACUGUUUGUAUUCAGAGAUGUGCACUGUGCAUGCUCUCAAGAUAGAAUAUGUAACCAAAACAGGUACUGUACACAACUAUUUUGAAUAUAUUGAUGUGAUAAUGUUCGAUUUGGUACCUUCCAUAUCACAGUUUUUACAUGUUGUUGCUAUAUUUGUUAUAGCAACAACAGGUCAUUGAAAGCAACCAAUGACAAACAAAUAAUAAAAUCCUCCUCCUCUCCA